CGAAACAAGACUUGUUGACUCUGAAGAUGAUGAUGAUGAUGAGUGGAUGCUACGGCGGCGAGGAGGAAGAGGCAUCAUCACAUAGGAAGAAACGGAAGCUGUCUUCUUCCUCGGCGGGGAUACCUUUGUUGCCGGAAGAGAUGGUUCUAAGUUGCUUGGCCCGUGUUUCGAGAUCGGAACACGAUUCCUUAUCUCUCGUCUCGAAGCGACAUCGUUCUCUAUUGUUGACGCCUGAGUUGUACAACUACCGAUCUCUUAUGGGCUGCACAGAAAACCUCAUCUACCUAUGCUUACGCAUCCCUCCAGAUCUAGAUCCACGAUGGUUCACCCUCUCCCUAAAACCCCGUGAUCGGCGGCUAGUCCCAGUGGCGUCUAGAUUGCCGAGCUCACACGUGGACCUUGGUUACUUUAACCAGCCUCACGAAGCAUCUUCUAUGGUGGCUCAUGGUUGCGGGAUCUACGUCAUGGGUGGAAGGAGAUUCCGGAGAGGCUCGUCCAGUGUCAUGUUCCUUGAUGGUCGAUCUAACACGUGGAGCACUCUCCCCUCCAUGGGGGUGGCUCGAUAUUCAGCUGCGGCUGGUGUGGUGGACGGGAAGAUAUAUGUGUUGGGAGGGUGUGAUGAUCGUGAGUCCAGCAGGUGGGGAGAGGUUUUCGACCCGGAGAAGCAGACUUGGGAUGCCCUGCCCAUGCCCCCGCAUCAUUGUAGUCCUCGCGGAAUGUUCGAAACCAUAGUGAUAAACCAGGACAAGUUGGUUGCUUUGAAUGACACAUGGGAAUGUGUAUCCUACACACCAAGUGAAAGCAGAUGGAACAAAAUGAGUAAGGAUAAGGAAGCCUUCGCAGUUAAUAAGUGUUGGCAUGUGAUAGACAAUGUCGUGUAUUGCAGUGGAUUAGAUGGGCGGGUAUUGUGGUGCGAGGCAGAUGAAUGGGAGAGGCCCGAAACCAAGGCGGUGGAGUGGAGAGAGGUGAUGGGCUUGGAGUCUCUCAGGGAAACUCUCGCUGCCUCCAAGCUCGUCAACUAUGGUGGACGGAUGGGGGAUAACUGGGAGGCAAACAAACCGCUGAUGCUAGAGGCGGGAUUGGAGAUAACAGAACUCGACGAAAAACUUCCCGGGCACAAACUGAGCAACUCUGGUAACAACAUGUUGAUCUUCUGGGACGUGCUUGCUCCUAAUAAGUUAGAGAUUUGGUGUGCAGAGGUCUCUUUGGUGAGACACAAGGAGACAUGCCAGAUUAUAGGAAACAUUGUGUGGUCCGAAGCUAUCAUGACGCUGGAUCCUCCUCCUCCACAUAAUUUUGAAGAAGCUUCAGCAUAUGUCACGUAUUGCCUUAAUGGCUAACCAGAGUGACAGGUAAAGAAGAUAUACAUUGUGGUUUUGACAGGUAAAGAAGAUAUAUACAAUUGAUUUGUUUGUAGUUCAGUGAUCUAGAGAUAUGUAACUGUAAUCUCUUUAAGUUAACGUCUUUGCUCAGGGCUACCUCCAGAUACUCGUGGGUGGAAGCAAAGGCUGCAGGCUUCCUUCUUGAUCACGGUUGCUUUGUUGCCUUGGCUCAAUGUUUUAUGGGAUCAGAUAUAUUGCAAUUGUCUGUCUCUCUGCUUCCAGGGGGUGUUGUAGAGGAAGAUGAAGUGUGUUCAGUUGCUAGACUGUUAGGGAGGACUUGUCAUCUCAGUCUCUUAAAGUAAGGUAAAGAUGGAUAAACCUCGAACCAAUGCUGGCUGCUAUGAUACUUUCAAAGUAAAUUCAAAAAGAAGUUUUAUUUAGACUAUUAAUAUCAAAAUUCUAGUUUGACAAGAGUCUUUUUUUUCUUGUCAAAACUUCCUAAAUCCGAAAACAAACAAUGUUGGUGACUAUAAAAGGAAAAAGGUAGCAACUCAAGUUGGUUAGGAUGCUCUUGAAAAAUAUCAUAAUCUUAUAGUGUCAUUGGGGGAAUCAUUUGAGAGUUAUAAUUCGUUUUUGCACUAUAUUGAAAAUUAAGAGUUGAAAGAAGAGAAGCUGCUGGGUAGAUCCAUUGAAGCUGAGGAUUUGGACUAAAAGAGUCUCUUCCCUCCUGAAUAACCGAAAGUUAUUUCUAAGUUUUGAAUUUCUUUCGACAGUCUUCCACCAAAUUAUUUUAUAUAUUUCAAGAUGGCUGGUCAAGUCUCACGUAUGAUUUCCUUCCGAAAUUAAAAUAGAGU